rnacentral:rRNA from 1 species
CUACGGGCUGCUGCAGUGAGGAAUUUUGCGCAAUGGGGGAAACCCUGACGCAGCAACGCCGCGUGAGUGAUGAAGGCCUUCGGGUCGUAAAACUCUGUCAAGUGGGAAGAACCUAUGUAAGGUUAAUACCCUUAUGUACUGACGGUACCACUGAAGGAAGCACCGGCUAACUCCGUGCCAGCAGCCGCGGUAAUACGGAGGGUGCAAGCGUUAUUCGGAAUUAUUGGGCGUAAAGGGCGCGCAGGCGGUUUGGUAAGUCAGAUGUGAAAGCCCGGGGCUUAACCUCGGAAGUGCAUUUGAUACUGCAAGACUUGAGUAUGGGAGGGGGAAGUGGAAUUCCUGGUGUAGAGGUGAAAUUCGUAGAUAUCAGGAGGAACACCAGUGGCGAAGGCGACUUCCUGGACCAAUACUGACGCUGAGGCGCGAAGGCGUGGGGAGCAAACAGGAUUAGAUACCCUUGUAGUC